rnacentral:sRNA from 1 species
UCUAUUUUGUGAAUUUUUAAUCUAUUACUUAGCGAUCUUUCAGUGUAAUUGGCCUGAAGUGAAAACCACAGCCUCUGAUGGUGAACAGGCCACACGUGAGCCUGUGCUCAAAGCCAUGUUUUUGGCUGACACCCAUUUGCUUGGGGAAUUCCUAGGCCACUGGCUGGACAAAUUACGAAGGGAAUGGCAGAUGGAGAGAGCCUUCCAGACAGCUCUGUGGUUGCUGCAGCCGGAAGUCGUCUUCAUCCUGGGGGAUAUCUUUGAUGAAGGGAAGUGGAGCACCCCUGAGGCCUGGGCGGAUGAUGUGGAGCGGUUUCAGAAAAUGUUCAGACACCCAAGUCAUGUACAGCUGAAGGUAGUUGCUGGAAACCAUGACAUUGGCUUCCAUUAUGAGAUGAACACAUACAAAGUAGAACGCUUUGAGAAAGUGUUCAGCUCUGAAAGACUGUUUUCUUGGAAAGGCAUUAACUUUGUGAUGGUCAACAGCGUGGCGCUGAACGGGGAUGGCUGUGGCAUCUGCUCUGAAACAGAAGCAGAGCUCAUUGAAGUUUCUCACAGACUGAACUGCUCCCGAGAGGCACGUGGCUCCAGCCGGUGUGGACCUGGGCCUCUGCUGCCCACGUCUGCCCCUGUCCUCCUGCAGGUGAGCUGGGGGAGGAAAGGGCUCAUGGCAGACAGCAGGCAGCCUGUGGUUUCACGAUAGCCGCCUGAACUCCUCUCUCCACCCCGGACAGCAUUAUCCUCUGUAUCGGAGAAGUGAUGCUAACUGUUCUGGGGAAGACGCUGCUCCUCCAGAGGAAAGGGACAUCCCAUUUAAGGAGAACUAUGACGUGCUUUCACGGGAGGCAUCACAAAAGCUGCUGUGGUGGCUCCAGCCGCGCCUGGUUCUCAGUGGCCACACGCACAGCGCCUGCGAGGUGCACCACGGGGGCCGAGUCCCCGAGCUCAGCGUCCCAUCUUUCAGUUGGAGGAACAGAAACAACCCCAGUUUCAUCAUGGGAACAGAUGCUUAGUUGAGCAUCAAGGGGCGGGAAGACACCUUUCCCUCCUUGUUCCUCGCUGACCGAUGACCCUGGAACUCCACGGUGCCUCUCUGAAUCUCUGUUAUGGAUCCCCCACUAUAUUUGAUGGGAACCCAGUGAGCCAGGGGCCAGUUUUGACAGGU